UAACCUUGUGGAGAAAGAAAGCAUAGUUUUCAUUCUGUGACCUUGGUCUUAAUUGGUGUUCUCUAUACAGGCAGACAGGAAGUAUCAUAGAGGGAUAUUAAGAAUCUGACCAGGAGGAAAGCAGCACAGAUUAGCUGUGGGUCUCAGCCAUUGUCGUGAUUAUGGUGUUAUUGAAGCUAAACAAAAGGCCUCAGCUGCUGAGGGCCUAACGGGUUGGAGACUCCAGUGAAUUAUCCAUAAUGGCCCUGUAUGUGUCCGAUCUGUGAAGUAUCUCCCUGUGAUGGGAGGCAGCUGUAUGCACACAGAGUACACAUUUUAAUAAGGCCAAUCCCAUCAGCAUGCCGGCCAGCCACAUUUGGGAUCAAUAAGGACCUGUGAUGCAUCAUCAUCAGUGUGGUGUGUUUGGAUGUCUGUUAGUGCUGCCGCGGCACCAACAUGGAGUGGGAAAAGCAAGCAUGGACAAAAAGCUGUAGUCCUGCUGUUCACGCAGGUAUGUCAAUGUUACAGUGGCUGUUACAGUGACUGGAACUAUACCGAUGAUUUAAAUGGAACAACAUGUCUAACACUUCACUCUGUUGUUUGUAUUCCAGAUGGAGAAGACAGGAGAGGAUGAUCUUCCAGGCAAAGCCAGCAGACAUCAUCAGACCAUUCUCUGGAUAUGAUGGGGCCAUCAGGCGGAUUGACCUGGACCAACGGGCCCCGGCAGGACCCGGCAGGCACCCAGCCGGCCAAGAUGACAAUGUGGAGGUGAGGAGAGGGGACCUUCAGGGCUUGGGAGCCCCCCUGUUCUCUCCUCUCACUCGAAGAUGUCCGUCUGCACUGAAACUGGGAAUCCUUCCAGGAACGUGGAAUAAUACGAUUCCAAUCCUAUUUCCCUCCUUGGUGGGUCUGGCUAGAUUCCUUUUGUAUUCAUGUAUUGUUACAAAAUAGUCUAUAAUGUGAUAACUUUGUGAUCUGUUACAUCAGUGAAAUAAUGCGGAAUUUGACCGUACUAGAAGGGAAGCCAAAUAAAUGCCUCAUCUCACUGAUAAAUAUUGAUUAGAUCACUGAUUAGAUGGUUAUCGUCAGUAUUAAAUAGAACAACACCACAUCCAAAACAAAAUGGUAUGAUAUGUUCAUAAGACAAUUAUGGACCGUCUUUAUGACUCAAUAUGUGAAACAUUUUCCUGUUGCUGUCCUCCUCCUCCUCCUCAUCCUCUGCUCCAGCUCUCCUGUAAACUAAUGCGGACUCUGAAUUUCUCCCCAGGCAAAGGGGCUGACAGCCAAUCGCAACAGAGCUCUCAAAUCGCUGUGUAUAUAACCCAAAACAAGCAAGGCCCGGUAAAUGUGUUUAUAAUAAACUAACAGGAUGCACGCAUGUAGGAAUGCUGAAAGACUAAUGCCUUGCUGAUGGAAGCUCAGAUCCUAACACAAUUUCAUGUUUAUAGUUCUUUAAAAAAUCCUCUCUCAGUGUGUGCUAUGCUAUGACUAGGCUGCCAGCGAGCGCUCUGUUCCUCUUUCACUGCUGUCCACAAAGGGAAGUGGCACUUGGAGUGAGGGGGGGGGACAUGUGUUUUUGAUAAAGCAUGUACAGUAUAUGUCAGGGCAGCAGCCCACUAUUGCAGCUAAUUCAUUCAGCUGAACGUGUAGUCAUGUUAUUGUUUCUACAUGUACUGUUAGUAAGGGAAUGGGAGCAGGGGGAAGGAUGUGGGAGGGGGCUACUGUAGUAGGGAGGGUUGAACUGUGCCAGUUAUAUGUUUUACUUUCUAAAGGAAAAGGGUGGUUAACAUCCAUCAACAGAGGACCAUUCCCAGUGAGGCAACACCUGAUCUGGUCUGAGGGGAGAACCUUUAGAGAAAGACUGAGGCAUACAGGGCUGAUGGGAGCUCCUGAGCUGAAUAAAAAACCCUGGAUUAUUUCACCGUCUUCAGAAGCAAUACGCAUGCAGUGACUCAUUUACUUCUACGUAAAGGGGGAACACACAAUGGAGUUAUUCUGCAGCAGCACUGGCAAACAUUUGAGGGAAACAGCUAAUCUACCGAGUGUCAUUAAUGCUCAGUGAUGCUUGAUGCUGAGGGCUUGGCAUUUACAGUACAUGACAUUUGUACAGGACAGUAUGUGGUGUCUUCCCUCCCAUGCCUUACAGCACUUCCCAGUCUAGCCCCUAAUUGGCUACCCUGUAAUUAAGAUCUGAGUUUGAGUGCAGGGAUACUGGGGGAAAGAUGACAGGCAGCGAUAUAACAAACACCAGCCCCCCUAAGGAGUCCCUGAGGACCCCCCCCCCCCCCCAACACACA
rnacentral:lncRNA from 1 species